rnacentral:rRNA from 1 species
AUUGAACGCUGGCGGCAGGCCUAACACAUGCAAGUCGAACGAGUGGCGGACGGGUGAGUAAUGUGUGGGAAACUGCCUGAUGGAGGGGGAUAACUACUGGAAACGGUAGCCAAUAACGCAUUCCCUCAGAUGUGCCCAGAUGGGAUUAGCUAGGUGGGGGGGUAAUGGCUCACCUAGGCGACGAUCCGUAGCUGGUCUGAGAGGAUGACCGGCCACACUGGAACUGAGACACGGUCCAGACUCCUACGGGAGGCAGCAGUGGGGAAUAUUGCGCAAUGGAGGCAAGCCUGAUACAGCCAUGCCGCGUGUGUGAAGAAGGCCUUCGGGUUGUAAAGCACUUUCAGCGAGGAGGCGUUACUCGCAGAAGAAGCACCGGCUAACUCCGUGCCAGCAGCCGCGGUAAUAC